AAAAGAGAGAGAUAGAUUAUAGUCUGUUUGACAAGGUAUUUGUAGAGACUACAGAAAACGUCCCAUAAAGCCUCAUGUACUGUGAGUCCUGCCGAGGGAGUGCCCUGGUGAAAUUUAUUGCUUAAAUUUCAUACAAUGUGAAUCACUUAAAAAAUAAAUUCUAAGAACUGACUAGAACAAUUAAAAACAAGUGAACAGUAGAACCAGUGAACCUGGAUUCUUAGGAUUUUUGUCAAGGGCAAUUUUCUGUGCAGGUUUUCUGAUGUCUAGAAGUGACUUGAUCUGCUGUCUUUCCCUCCAGAAGACUCAUGGUGCCCUUCUACUUGUUGCGUGUAUUUUCUUGGUGAUUCUAGGAAUUAAUCAUUCUUAGAUUACUAUGUCAUGGUCAGAUUUGCAGUCAAGAGUUGAUCAAGCAGGACAAACAAGCAGAUAGAUACAGCAUAAUCACAUGAGCUUUUUUUCCAGAUGGAAAAAACCCCAGAAAAUAGUACCAGAAGCACAGUAUCCCAUGGUUAUUUUGAGCCAUUUCAUGGAUAAUGUGCAGUAAAACAUGAUUUUUUUUUUUACCAAAAGACAGUUUUAUGCCUACAGUUACACUACGAAGAUAAAAUCCCUCUGGCAAAAACUGCAGGGGGAGCUGACCGUGGUUAUCCACAGACACAAAAUGCUCAACAAAUAGUUAAACUAUCAAUGAGACUGCUGUUUUUCUAGAAAAUAGUAUGAAACUUCUAUUAACUUUUAAGUGUUAUGACUAUAUUUUAUGACUGAAUAUAUUACUGGUAACAAACUGUCCUCCACUGCAUGUUUCCCACUUGAUCUGGCAUAAAAGCAUAACCAUUUUUAUGUGAAGUAACAUACCACCCUACAAAAAAAAGCAGAGUAUCUUCAUACCUGAAGAAAAAAUCAGCAGUUUAAGAUGCUCUGGUUUUUUUGUGUGAUUGUCCUUCCUUUCUUUAUGAGAGUUCUUAUUAAAAAACAGGCUUUGGAAUAGCGUGAUGUAUUAAAUGAGGCCUAUUUAAUCCUUAGGGAAUCGCCAUUACUGUCUUAACCUCUGCUCCUGCAGCUGAAGUUGCUUAUUCUUUGCCUCUGUGCUGCGAACUGUGACAGUCACACCUUAUUCCAACCCUCCUACCACCUGCAGACUGGUUUCCUUUCUGGGUCUGCCGUAUUCCAGUCGGAAUCCUAAACUUCAUUCCUGGCUGCAUGUUCUGCAACAACCUUGACUUCUUCACCGCCCGCUGAACUGCUUCCGUUCUCCUGUCUGAAGAAGACUCUGCAGCCCAAGUGACACCCCAGUAUUUUUUGGAAGGGGGGAACCAUUUGAAAAAUGACAGUAAACUACUUGUGUUUAGUAAUCUGUAUCUUGUAUGUUUUAUUAGCUUGAUUUUGAAACAACUACUCUUACGUUAUUAACAAUUUACUUCCCCAUGUAAUCUACAGACUCUUAUUUUUCUUUCCGAAGAUCACAAUGAUGGGCAUAAAAAGUAUUUGAAGACUUCUCCUCCCUGGCCCUGAGUUUCAAAUCUGGUAUUUCAGAGUUUCACAGCUGAAGGAGGCCUGCUGUGCUGUCGUCUUUUCUCCAGACCUGCUGGGAAGCCUGGACACCAAGACCAUAAUGAUAGAGUAGCAUUUUGUAACUCAGCAGGAGUGGUUGUACAUGUGCAUCUGCUAUCUGUCAUCCAGUGCUGUAGAAAGAAAAGACUUGCCUGCUAACAGUGGAGAUUGCUGUGCGGUGGCUUUGGACCUGAAAGAGAUGUUUAAAGGUUACAACAAUAUGGAUGCUGGAGCCAGUCUCAGGCAAAAAGGAAAUUAUAGCAGACUUGCAUGAACUGCACUGCAUGUGUAUGCUAGUCUUCAGGGCUCUUGCAUAUUCCGGGAAACACCUUACAGGUACCUAUCUGAUUGCAGUGCAUAGGAGCUGUACUGUUCAUAGGAGCUGUACUGUCCAUAACCUCUGAGUCAUCUGCUCCUGACUCAUGGUGAGUCAUUACAAAUAGAAAACCAAGGCACAGAAAUAGUGUAUUCACCUUAAAAUCAGACCAGCAGUCAGUAGCAAAGCUGGAAAGUAAACCUGUAUUUUAAAUUGGUUGGUAAUCUGAAGCUUCCAUCUUGGCUAUAACUUUUUGUGAAGAUUAGAAUCCAUUUUUAUUACCUUAUUCAUAAUUAGACCAUGCAGCAAUCUUGCUUUUACCUUUGUACCUUAUUCACUAUGGAUUGUAUCAUCACAGGCCGGUAAUCAGAAAGCUUUUUGCAGAAUGGAAUUAUACACAUAUUAGGAGGGUUCCCAACAAAAUUCUCCUUACAUAAUGAGGUAAAAUUUCUUUUUUCUAUUUCAUAUCUCAUAGUAUAAAUACUUUGGUGUACUAUACUGCCAACUGACCUUUCUUCCCCUAGCAAAGCAGUCAGACAUACACUCUCACAUUUCUCCUCAGUGAGACCUCCUACACGAAUCAGGAAGUCUCCCUGCUCUUACCUUAUUACAAACUGGAUGUUGAUGCUGUUCUUCACUCUCUAAACACCAUUUGAACUGAACAAUAUUACUUGGGACAUCUUGUAGGGAAUCUGAGAUUCUUUUAGAAAGAGACGAGACAGUUACCUAAAAAAUAAUAAUAAAAAAAUGGACUCACAAAGUUUUUUAAGCUGUCAGAUAGACAAAAAACAGCACCUAGACACAUUACUCUUAGAGCUCUUCUGAAAAACACACAAGAUCCCUCUGUCCCUUCAGCGGCUACUUCAGGCUUAUUGACACUCUGUGUCUAGAAAUCGUGAUCUAUGAAAAAAGACUGAAGGAACUCAGUUUUCUUAGUGUAGAGAAGACUGAUGGUAAGAGGUGAAAAUAACAUUCAAGUAAUUUUAAGGUAAUUGCACAGAGGAAGGGAAUAAAUUCCUUUGGUAACAGGAGGAGAAACAAUGCGUGAAAUCUUUCCUUUAGUGAGAAUAGUGAAACAGCCCAUGAAAAAGCUUGAUUUCCAUCCAGAGAGUACUUUUAGAAGAGGCUGACAAAUACUGGCCAGGAAUGCUGUAGGGACAGUUGGUCACUCCCUGGAAAAAGGGCUGAACUAGAUGUCUCGAGAUUUUUCAUUUGCUAUGAACUAGAUAGCUGUUUAAACAUCUACAAAACUUUGUAAGCACUAUCCCAUCUUUGGUCAAUACUUCUUUUGCUCAUUGACUUUUGCCUGAAACAUGAGCUUAUAAAACAUAUUUACCUUUCUACUCCUCAGUGACAGCAUUGUUUCCACCUCCAUUUGUGUAUUAAGUUUUACUUAUAAUUUUAAACAAAUUCUAUUACUUGGUGGAUGUUAAUUUACUGAUCAACCAAACCUAUGAAUUUUCCGUCUCUUGGGAAUGAAUACUUAUAAAGUCUGUGCAUCUUGCUAUCUAUCCUC